GAUGAACGCUGGCGGCGUGCUUAACACAUGCAAGUCGAACGAAGCACUCUAUUUGAUUUUCUUCGGAAAUGAAGAUUUUGUGACUGAGUGGCGGACGGGUGAGUAACGCGUGGGUAACCUGCCUCAUACAGGGGGAUAACAGUUGGAAACGGCUGCUAAUACCGCAUAAGCGCACAGUAUCGCAUGAUACAGUGUGAAAAACUCCGGUGGUAUGAGAUGAGACCCGCGUCUGAUUAGCUAGUUGGUGGGGAAACGGCCUCCCAAGGCGACGAUCAGUAGCCGACCUGAGAGGGUGACCGGGCACAUUGGGACUGAGACACAGCACAAACUCCUACGGGAGGCAGCAGUGGGGAAUAUUGCACAAUGGGGGAAACCCUGAUGCAGCGACGCCGCGUGAACGAAGAAGUAUUUCGGUAUGUAAAGUUCUAGCAGCAGGGAAGAUAAUGACGGUACCUGACUAAGAAGCACCGGCUAAAUACGUGCCAGCCGCCGCCGUAA
rnacentral:rRNA from 1 species